rnacentral:rRNA from 1 species
CAGUAGCCGCGGUAAUACGUAGGUGGCAAGCGUUGUCCGGAAUUAUUGGGCGUAAAGGGCUCGCAGGCGGUUUCUUAAGUCUGAUGUGAAAGCCCCCGGCUCAACCGGGGAGGGUCAUUGGAAACUGGGAAACUUGAGUGCAGAAGAGGAGAGUGGAAUUCCACGUGUAGCGGUGAAAUGCGUAGAGAUGUGGAGGAACACCAGUGGCGAAGGCGACUCUCUGGUCUGUAACUGACGCUGAGGAGCGAAAGCGUGGGGAGCGAACAGGAUUAGAUACCCGCGUAGUCCCUGUCUCUUAUCA